AUUGAACGCUGGCGGAAUGCUUUAUACAUGCAAGUCGAACGGCAGCACGGACUUCGGUCUGGUGGCGAGUGGUGAACGGGUGAGUAAUACAUCGGAACGUGCCCAGUCGUGGGGGAUAACGUAGCGAAAGCUACGCUAAUACCGCAUACGAUCUAAGGAUGAAAGCGGGGGAUCGCAAGACCUCGCGCGAUUGGAGCGGCCGAUGGCAGAUUAGGUAGUUGGUAGGGUAAAGGCCUACCAAGCCGACGAUCUGUAGCUGGUCUGAGAGGAUGAUCAGCCACACUGGGACUGAGACACGGCCCAGACUCCUACGGGAGGCAGCAGUGGGGAAUUUUGGACAAUGGGCGCAAGCCUGAUCCAGCCAUUCCGCGUGCAGGAUGAAGGCCUUCGGGUUGUAAACUGCUUUUGUACAGAACGAAAAGGCUCUGGUUAAUACCCGGGGCUCAUGACGGUACUGUAAGAAUAAGCACCGGCUAACUACGUGCCAGCCGCCGCCGUAA
rnacentral:rRNA from 1 species